rnacentral:rRNA from 1 species
GAUGAACGCUGGCGGCGUGCCUAAUACAUGCAAGUCGAGCGAACAGACGAGGAGCUUGCUCCUCUGACGUUAGCGGCGGACGGGUGAGUAACACGUGGAUAACCUACCUAUAAGACUGGGAUAACUUCGGGAAGCCGGAGCUAAUACCGGAUAAUAUAUUGAACCGCAUGGUUCAAUAGUGAAAGACGGUUUUGCUGUCACUUAUAGAUGGAUCCGCGCCGCAUUAGCUAGUUGGUAAGGUAACGGCUUACCAAGGCAACGAUGCGUAGCCGACCUGAGAGGGUGAUCGGCCACACUGGAACUGAGACACGGUCCAGACUCCUACGGGAGGCAGCAGUAGGGAAUCUUCCGCAAUGGGCGAAAGCCUGACGGGGCAACGCCGCGUGAGUGAUGAAGGUCUUCGGAUCGUAAAACUCUGUUAUUAGGGAAGAACAAAUGUGUAAGUAACUAUGCACGUCUUGACGGUACCUAAUCAGAAAGCCACGGCUAACUACGUG